rnacentral:rRNA from 1 species
AUGUUUAUUGUGAAGACUAUAUGUUGCAAUUUCUAUCCGUUGAUUCAACUUGUCUAUCUAUUUAUCAAGAUGCUAACGGAUGUCACCCUCUUCAGGAUGGCUCCGCCAACGCGUCAGAAUCCAGAUCGCAAUGAUGGGAGUCAGGCGAACCCUCCACCUCCAAUUCCGCCUCCGGAGGCUUGGCAUGCUUUGAUGGCAGCCUCUAACGCCAAUGCUCAGAUGAUGAUCCAGCUCAUGCAUGAGCGCAACCAAGGCCAAGGCAACCAAGGGAAUCAAGGUCAAGGGCAGUUCAAUCAUCAGCCUCAGUUUCCAACCCUCAACCAAUUCCUUGCAAAU